CAAAAAAGUGUCUAUCUCUCUA
rnacentral:siRNA from 1 species